AAUGAACGCUGGCGGCAGGCCUAACACAUGCAAGUCGAACGGAUCCUUCGGGAUUAGUGGCGGACGGGUGAGUAACGCGUGGGAACAUACCCUUUGGUACGGAAUAGCCUCGGGAAACUGGGAGUAAUACCGUAUGUGGUCGAGAGACGAAAGAUUUAUCGACCAAGGAUUGGCCCGCGUUGGAUUAGGUAGUUGGUGGGGUAAUGGCCUACCAAGCCGACGAUCCAUAGCUGGUUUGAGAGGAUGAUCAGCCACACUGGGACUGAGACACGGCCCAGACUCCUACGGGAGGCAGCGGUAGGGAAUGUUAGACAAUGGGAGAAACCCUUAUCUAGCCAUGCCGCGUGAUCGAUGAAAGCCUUAGGGUUGUAAAGAUCUUUCAGGUGGGAAGAUAAUGACUGUACCACCAGAAGAAGCCCCGGCUAACUCCGUGCCAGCAGCCGCGGUAA
rnacentral:rRNA from 1 species